CAGAACGAACGCUCGGCGGCAUGCUUAACACAUGCAAGUCGAACGAGACCUUCGGGUCUAGUGGCGCACGGGUGCGUAACGCGUGGGAAUCUGCCCUUUGCUACGGAAUAACUCAGAGAAAUUUGUGCUAAUACCGUAUAAUGUCGUAAGACCAAAGAUUUAUCGGCAAAGGAUGAGCCCGCGUAAGAUUAGCUUGUUGGUGAGGUAAAGGCUCACCAAGGCGACGAUCUUUAGCUGGUCUGAGAGGAUGAUCAGCCACACUGGGACUGAGACACGGCCCAGACUCCUACGGGAGGCAGCAGUGGGGAAUAUUGGACAAUGGGCGAAAGCCUGAUCCAGCAAUGCCGCGUGAGUGAUGAAGGCCUUAGGGUUGUAAAGCUCUUUUACCAGGGAUGAUAAUGACAGUACCUGGAGAAUAAGCUCCGGCUAACUCCGUG
rnacentral:rRNA from 1 species